rnacentral:rRNA from 1 species
GAUGAACGCUGGCGGCGUGCCUAAUACAUGCAAGUCGAGCGAACAGAUGAGGAGCUUGCUCCUCUGACGUUAGCGGCGGACGGGUGAGUAACACGUGGAUAACCUACCUAUAAGACUGGGAUAACUUCGGGAAACCGGAGCUAAUACCGGAUAAUAUAUUGAACCGCAUGGUUCAAUAGUGAAAGACGGUUUUGCUGUCACUUAUAGAUGUAUCCGCGCCGCAUUAGCUAGUUGGUAAGGUAACGGCUUACCAAGGCAACGAUGCGUAGCCGACCUGAGAGGGUGAUCGGCCACACUGGAACUGAGACACGGUCCAGACUCCUACGGGAGGCAGCAGUAGGGAAUCUUCCGCAAUGGGCGAAAGCCUGACGGAGCAACGCCGCGUGGGUGAUGAAGGUCUUCGGAUCGUAAAACUCUGUUAUUAGGGAAGAACAAAUGUGUAAGUAACUAUGCACGUCUUGACGGUACCUAAUCAGAAAGCCACGGCUAACUACGUG